GCCCUCAUAGUUUAACGGAUAGAACACGACCCUCCGAAGGUUGAAAUGGAAGUUCGAUUCUUCCUGGGGGCA
rnacentral:tRNA from 1 species